ensembl:lncRNA
GUAAAUAUGCGUCUUUCAUAUUUAUAUAAAGACCUAUUAUACCUCUCUCAGUGAUCGAUCCAUAAAAAAACGGGAUAUGCUGACGAAGUUUCACUUAGUGAUCCAGAGAGAUACACUGACUGACUUCCUCAGUCCCCGAAUCCAUAAAAAAACGGGAUAUGCUGACGAAGUUUCACUUAGUGAUCCAGAGAGAUACACUGACUGACUUCCUCAGUCCCCGAAUAAAGUAAAUUAACCCUUGUGUGGUGUUGGUGGACACAGGAAGUUGCCUGUUGUCUUGAAUAUUUUAAUUUUGUUUAAAAAAUAAUAAUAAUAAUAAUAAUUAAUUGUUUAAUUAAACGUACGUUAAAAAGUGAGAAGUUGCUCACUCAGAAAAAGUGACACAGAAAGUUGCCUGUUGUCUUAAAUACUUCUCGUUAAGUGAGAAGUUGCUCAUCAAAGAGUGACACAGGGAGUUGCCUGUUAUCUUGAAACGUACGUUAAAAAGUGAGAAGUUGCUCACUCACAGAAAGCUAGUAAAUAAUUAAAUUUAAUUUUGUUAAAAAAAAAAAAACGAAAGAAAACUGAAAACGGGUCUCACAGACCCGAUUACCAUACAAGGGUUAAAAGCAGUAAAUUAAAAGCAGAAAGACACAGGAAGUUGCCUGUUGUUUUACGAGAAGUUGCUCGUUAAGUGAGAGUUGCUCACACAAACAAAAAAUUGCUAGCAAUAAAUUUAAAGUGACCUCAGCUGUGCCGCAGCGAAAAUACUAACCUAAAUCCUCCUAGCGUGUAAACCCCUCUGGAAAUCACUGAACAUGGGUCAGAAUUAUUCAAAGACCACAGACAGGUCCGAUAAAAAAUCUAAAGUACCUGUAAAACCAAAAAUUAAUAAAAUACAAAAUAAAGUCUCAAAUAACGGCUCAGUACAACUCCCAUUUCCGGUUACGUGUAACCUACGUCCGCGAAUCGGUGAAGACGUCCAUGAUCACGUAUCCAGAACAUGCGGGAGUGCUUAUGUGACUGACUUUGUUUACAACUUAAGAAGUUCAAUGCAUUCUAAUUUCUUUUCGGAGCCUUAUCCCGAACGAUUAUCGCCAGAAAACAGACUAUUUCCAAGACCAUGGUCAGCUUCCAGAGGGGCACCGCUAGUAGAAGGUGAUCUAUAUUGCAUUGUCCACUGAUGUUCACAACCUGGUAGAAAAACUGAAUAAUAACUAUCAGAAAGUUUGUCUCUCUCAGCUUUUCCCCUCCACAGUUCCACCAGUGGAGACAAGGAGACGCAUGUUGGAGAAGCCACUAAAACCAAGGACACUCUGGGAGGCCGCGUUUUCCAGCCCCCAGGCUUUACUGGCAGUGACGAAGAACCAGCAUCCUCACAGACGGACAACCUCAGUGGAUUCAUGCCAGCAGGGUUAAGACCAGCCCAAUCGGACCAUCUCAGGCGUCGGAUCAAGCAGACGACAUCUCCGGCGAGCCAGCGCCCGGAACUAGAGCAAAUAAACACACGGGUAGACGACAUCUCAGGCGAGCCAGCGCCCGGAUCCAGUGCACACACGCAAUCACUGAUUAACACACAACGUCUGAAAGAACAACAACAAGGUACUCAAACAUCCAGCAGGAACAGAAAGCCAAAAGUACCACAUGAUGUCUAACCUGAUAAAGCCAGACUCAUUUCAUCCUGAUAAUGGAGAAAAUGAAAUGCCCAUUGUCAUCAUACGACGCUUAUUCAAUGUCUCUCGAACCUGGGACCAGGCCAGGAGACAACUGAAGAACUGUUUUUCUUAUAUACUUUCUUAUAUAUUUAGGUUAUUUAUCAUAUCUAUCGCAUUAACCUUAGGAUUUCUCUUUGCUAUUUUGUAUUGUAAACUGCAACCAUGUUCAUAUUUCUGCAGGUCAUAUUUUGCUGACUAUACCUCAUGCUCCAUUUUGCAAGACACCUACUUAAUGCACUCAUUACGUUCCCUAAAAUCAGUAAAUAGCAACAUAGACGCCACUAAUAAACCAUCUUAUGCGCCCUCUAGAACAGGAGCUAACGCCUGGUAUGAAAAUGCCAGAACAGCCGCUCGUGAUUUAGGAAACAGUAACUGUUAUGUCUGUUCAAAGGCUAAUCCAGAACAGGUAAUAGUAGGAUACCCCAUAUCCGGUUUCCCCCUCACUGAGGGACUAGAGAAAAUCAGCGGAAAUAAUGCUCUCUUUAAAGACGCUUUACAGUUGACUCUGAGCCCUCUCGACUGCCUACUUAGACACACACACACACCAACUAACCCUGAGACUCCAUUAGGCGAAUUAUUGAAGUUAUCUAAUGACACCGCGGGGACCAGCGCCCCAAUGAAACGCCCUAAGAAUAGGUUAAAGCCCUCACUACCCCUAGGACAGAUCCCUCUCCAUUUUAAUACUAGUAUGAUAUGUCUGCGCAGAUUAAAGUUAACUGGCCCAGACACACACAUAGAUUAUACAAAGGAUAACUACACAUUUUUCUCUGACUCCCCAGGUGCACGCUGUAAUGAGACAUGGCUAGCUGUCUCUGUGGCUGAAGUUUUAUCAUAUCUGGAGGAACACACACACAGUUCAAGUUCGAGCAGAGACCCGAUCAUUGUUCCCCCAGACGGUGUAUUAAAUGACACUGACUGGGGGGAGUUAGUUAAAUCACACAUGGUCACGCGCCUGACCAGACCAAUCCCACAUGCUUAUUGGAUGUGCAAUAAUACUCUUAGAUUAGCCCUACCUGUUAAUUGGACCGGUACCUGUGGUCUAGUAACCGUUGAUGUAUGCUGUACUUUCAUUCCCAAUAAUACCGCUCCUAACGGUUCAUUCACACAAGCUAUGAAUAGACUUGAAGCAUUGAAGAUAGAACUAAUUGCCAAUACAGGUCACGGUCAGUGGCUACAUAAGUGGCUACAGGACACGUUUGGGAGAUGGAAGGAACUAAUUGUAGCCUUUGUAACCGUUGCAGCAUGUUUUCGAUGAUUAUUGUCUGUUGUGUGAUACCAUGUAUACGCUCUCGGAAUUUUUGAUAUUAAGCUUCCUCAAAGGACCAGUUACAUUUAUGAUUUGUUUCACAUUUAUGAUUUGUCUUUAUAUUAUGUUAUUACAUUUGUGAUUUUUCCUUUCUAUUUGAGUUAUUAUUUUUAAAAAAUAAUAAAAGAGGGGAACUGUUAUGAUAUUUUGAUACCACGGUAAGCAUUUACAGGAUAUUGUUUUAUACAGGAAAACUGUUACUCAAUAAGGCCGAUCUACUAGUUGUUUUUCUCUUUCUCUGUGACCCAAGAAUUAAUGUGUAAGACUUACAGGCUGGUACCUCAAGGUCGAAAACACCACAGAGAUGAGACCACUUCCUUACUCCCAUCCUCCCUUUUUCCUUAUCUCCUGGAAAAGGCUCGUUAAAGGCUAGGUGGUUUGUUUCAGAAUUCACUGAUGAAAGAACUCUGUAUUUUAUGUCUAGGAGUGUAUUUUGCUGGGAUGAUCAUAAAUUAUAGCUGAACUGAUAAACUACACAAGGGAUACUUUGCUCAGAAGGCAGGAAGACGUUUCCUUAUUUGGUCUGUACCGGUUUGAACUGGGAAAGCUGACACACGAACCUUUUUUCAUCUAUAUAAACUGCUGUGUAUCAAAUAAACCUUUGAGUCGAUUGGGAAGGCAACCUAAAGCAGUCUCUGUUUUCUUGUUCUCCCAAGCUGCUCCCGAGCUCGUACUAACACGCUGAAUGGCAUACCUGAGUGUUACUUUGAAUAAUUAGGAGUCUUAUAAGGAAAGGACAAACUCUGCUUAUCGCUCACGCCACGGAGGAAACCCGGGAAGGCAAUUUCCUUCACCUGCUUCAUACCCUGGAGGACGGGGCUGUGGCUCCCCACACUCCCUAGCAGAUCGUUACAUGGAGAAACCUUUGGAAUGCAAGCGCGCUGAUCCACACAGGUGUACACACGGGUAUUCACAGACGCGGACUACAGCUUUCUUGGCUGCUGCCUCAAAGCACAUUGUGCGCUGUCUAUCUUGCGUGCUGCACAAUAUCGUUUAUUAUUUAGUAUCUACUGAUAUCUACUGCUAGCUAGUUUAUUGUGAUGGUGCCGUUUUUUUUAUUAUGUUGCUCUUUGUUGUUUGCUUUCUCUUCUGUUUUUUUUUUCUCCAUACAGGUGACCCAGGUGUUUUGUUUUUUUUUGUUUGUUUUUCUUUCUUUCUUCUCCCCCUUCUCACCGUCUCUUCUCCCCUUUGGUUUUCUUUCUCUCCCUCUCUUUCUUUCAUUCUCUCUCCCUGUCCUAUCCCCCAGUCAUGUCUGUCCCGUUUGUAGCAACUGAAAAUAAAAUAAAUUCAUAAUUAUAAUAAAGGUCAAUCAAAUGGACCAAUAUGGCAAGGCCAUGAUGAUCCACUUGGUAAAAUAAAUCCGCUUGGCAUCUUUCUUGGCCUUAAGACAACAAUUCUGAUGGCUAAAGAUCCAAACAAAACACACAAAAA